rnacentral:misc_RNA from 1 species
GGAAGGAUCAUUAACAAAACUGAACUUAUAACUAACUGAGCGAUGUGCGCAAGCACUCCUGUCAGUAAACACACAGCCUGUGAGUGAACUCGGUUGAUAAGCCUAAAUUUUCAACGAUGGAUGUCUAGGCUCCCAUAACGAUGAAGAACGCAGCGAAAAUGCGAAAUGCAGUGUGAAUUGCAGAACCAAAAAUCACUGGAUCUUCGAACGCCUCUGGCGCUGAUCCACUCAGCAUGCUUGCUUCAGUGUGCGCAACAAUUUCAAGCAAAGUGCGGGAGAGCAUUCUCCCGUGAAACACAUGCUCUUGGCAGCAGUCACUAACGUGAUCGCCGGAGUACUUAGCCUUCUUUGCACCUGAAGUCAAGCAAGAUGACCCGCUGGACUUAAGCAUAUUACUAAGCGGAGGAAAAGAAAUUAACAAAGAUUGCCUUAGUAAGGGCGACUGAACCGGCAAUAGCUCAAAUUGAAAUCGGAGGUUCAACGAACCCUCGAAUUGUAAUCAGAUUCGCCUAAAUACGAGCGUUCCCUCAAGGUCUUCGAAAAGGCCGCCAAGGAGGGUGCCAGCCCCGUGCGGGGAGCGCUCGGAACAGGGGAGUUGAAAAAGAGUCGGGUUGUUUGGAACUGCAGCCCUAAGCGGGAGAUAUGAAUCUUCCAAAGCUAAAUAUGGAUGGGAGACCGAUAGCGGACAAGUACUGUGAAGGAAAGAUGAAAAGGACUUUGAAAAGAGAGUGAAAAGAUCUGAAAUCGUUGAGAAGGAAGCGGUACAAACUGACGGUCGUAGAGAUGGGGCACGCGACUCCAAGUCGCGGAAACCCUGCCGACACGACGGGCAAAACCAAGUGGCGAGGACUAAGAAAGGCACAAGCCGGAAAGAGUCCACGCCGCUUGAGGGGCUAAUGCGGAUUUGCCAAAAUGGUUUGUACUGUCCCGUCUUGAAACACGGACCAAGGAGUCUAACACAUGUGCGAGUGUGCGAGUGUCAAACUCAUACGCGGAAUGAAAGUGAAAGGUGCGCAGGGAAACCGGCAGCAUCGACCGACCCAGGAAGAAGGGUUUGAGUGGGAGCACAUUUGUUAGGACCCGAAAGAUGGUGAACUAUGCCUGAGCAGGGUGAAGUCAGGGGAAACCCUGAUGGAGGCUCGAAGCGUUGUUGACGUGCAAAUCACUCGUCAAACUUGGGUAUAGGGGCGAAAGACUAAUCGAACCAUCUAGUAGCUGGUUCCCUC